rnacentral:rRNA from 1 species
GCGCGAAACCUCCGCAAUGCGAGCAAUCGCGACGGGGGGACCCCAAGUGCCACUCUUAACGGGGUGGCUUUCUUAAGUGUAAAAAGCUUUUGGAAUAAGGGCUGGGCAAGACCGGUGCCAGCCGCCGCGGUAACACCGGCAGCCCAAGUGGUGGCCAUUUUAUUGGGCCUAAAGCGUUCGUAGCCGGCCUGAUAAGUCUCUGGUGAAAUCCCGCAGCUUAACUGUGGGAAUUGCUGGAGAUACUAUCAGGCUUGAGGUCGGGAGAGGUUAGAGGUACUCCCGAGGGUAGGGUGAAAUCCUAUAAUCCUGGGAGGACCACCGUGUGGCGAAGGCGUCUAACGUGGAACGAACCGUGACGGUGAGUAACGAAAGCCAGGGCGCGAACCGGAUAGAGACCCUGUA